ACGAACGCUGGCGGCAUGCUUAAUACAUGCAAGUCGAACGAGAAAGUUUCUUCGGAAACGAGUAUAGUGGCGCACGGGUGCGUAACACGUAGGUGACCUACCUUUUAGUCGGGGACAACAUCGGGAAACUGAUGCUAAUACCGGAUGUGGUAAUCAAUUUUGAAAGUAGAUUACUAAAGGCAGCCUCUGCAUAUGCAGUUGCUAGAAGAAGGGCCUGCGGAACAUUAGCUUGAUGGUGAGGUAAUGGCUUACCAUGGCUACGAUGUUUAGGGGGUCUGAGAGGAUGAUCCCCCACACUGGAACUGAGACACGGUCCAGACUCCUACGGGAGGCAGCAGUAGGGAAUAUUGCGCAAUGGGCGAAAGCCUGACGCAGCAAUGCCGCGUGAGUGAGGAAGGCCUUCGGGUUGUAAAGCUCUGUCAUACGGGAAGAACUGGGAUUGUAUUAAUAGUACUUUCUCUUGACGGUACCGUAGAAGGAAGCACCGGCUAACUUCGUGCCAGCAGCCGCGGUAAUACGAAGGGUGCAAGCGUUGUUCGGAUUUAUUGGGCGUAAAGCGCGCGCAGGCGGAUGUGCAAGUCAGAUGUGAAAUCUCGGGGCUCAACCCCGAAACUGCGUCUGAAACUGUUCAUCUAGAAUCAUAUAGGGGGUAGGGGAAUUUCACGUGUAGGGGUAAAAUCCGUAGAGAUGUGAAGGAAACACCAGUGGCGAAGGCGCCUACCUGGAUAUGUAUUGACGCUGAGGCGCGAAAGCGUGGGUAGCAAACAGGAUUAGAUACCCUGGUAGUCCACGCCGUAAACGAUGAGCACUAGCUUUUAGAGGUAUUGACUCCUUUAGUGGCGCAGCUAACGCAUUAAGUGCUCCGCCUGGGAAGUACGGCCGCAAGGCUAAAACUCAAAGGAAUUGACGGGGGCCCGCACAAGCGGUGGAUUAUGUGGUUUAAUUCGAAGCAACGCGCAGAACCUUACCAAGGCUUGAAAUCCUACGAAUCCGAUGUAAUUGUUGGAGUGCUCGCAAGAGAAUGUAGUGACAGGUGCUGCAUGGCUGUCGUCAGCUCGUGUUGUGAAAUGUUGGGUUAAGUCCCGCAACGAGCGCAACCCCUAUUCUUAGUUGCCAGCAUUAAGUUGGGCACUCUAAGGAGACUGCCUGGGAAACCAGGAGGAAGGUGGGGAUGACGUCAAGUCCUCAUGGCCCUUAUGUCCAGGGCUACACACGUAAUACAAUGGCGCGCACAGAGGGAAGCGACCCAGCAAUAGGGAGCUAAUCCCAUAAAACGUUUCGUAGUCCGGAUCGCAGUCUGCAACUCGACUGCGUGAAGUCGGAAUCGCUAGUAAUCGGAGAUCAGCACGCUUCGGUGAAUCCGUUCCCGGGCCUUGUACUCACCGCC
rnacentral:rRNA from 1 species